CCAUUCACUCUUUAGCCCAUUAAUCCUAUGCUAAAACCCUAAUUGUUGAGUCUAUAAAUCUCUAUUUUUCACUUCAAUAAUUUGGGGAUCAAUCCCCAAUGUAGCCGAAUCUUUAUUUUACCACUUCUCAGGAUUGGUGUUUGCCCAUUGUUCUUCUGUUUGGUAAAACAUUUGGAGUACUCCGUAGUUCACGAGUCGACUUGUAUAUCAAGUAUAGCUCCCACACCUGGACCAGGCUUAAAAACAACGAGUCUUUUCUUUUCAAGGUUAGACUCUAUAGAAUCAGAACAAUAGUCUCAUUGACCGUGGUCACGUCAGAGCCCUCUAUUGUCUGUUGUAGGAAAUUGAUUGGUCUUUAUACCGCACCUUACUUAAUCUUCCGCCGGAACUGGAUUCUCUAAAAAGCACUAAUUGUACUUUUGUUUGAAUACAAUUUAUCAGAAACAAAUUUUGUCCAUUUGA